AACUGGAGAUUAUUGCUACUCUCACAAGCACUCAAGUAGUAUAGGGAUGCUCAAAUCACUUGGAUGAUGCUUCAGAGUCUCAUGUUAACGGAGAAACCAUGCAGUGGCAGAACAUAGUCACCAGAUUCACAAAGCCAUCUUCACUGGCAGCCCAGGACACCUAGAUCCUAUAAGAAGGGGACAGUCUCAGUCCAGGUCCACUGAAUCUAACAGUUCUCAGGCUGAACUGGAAACCUGGGUGCCACCCACAGCUGUGAAUUCUUAAUCUUAGGGGGUCACUGUAAGACAGCAGCACUUGGUGCCUCAGCUCUGCUAGUGUCUACAAUGUAAAAUAAGACAAGCUCAGGCUUUGUCAGGGUACUCUCCUGUCCCUGUUAUUGUGGGCACACACCCUAAGGACUCCAGUGGGAGUGAAGUGCAAUGAUGGUACUGAAAUCUAAACAUUCCUCUGUGUCUCCUUCCCCACUCAGAGUGAGACAGAGGGUCCCCAGCACAAAGGCUACAGUCUUGUCAGUUCCUGAAUAUGUCAUAUUAACCAUCAUGAACUCUUGAUCUGGGUCUGCUCAUUAGGAACCCAGAGAAGCUGGAUAAGCCUAUUGCUUCUUAGAAGCUGCCAGUUCCUGACUGAUCCUGUAAGGCUCAAGCCCAUCACACCCAGAAAGCUCCCCAGACCCUUUCCUGAACUCACUACAUCUUCCCCAGGACCACUGAUUUCUCCAUUCUUUCCAGUGAGACCUAGGGUCAGCUUCCUUCUGCCUUGCUCUGGUAUCUCCACGAAGUCCAUUCUCUCUAUCAAGUAGAUGCCUAAGUCUUGACAACAUGUCUAUAGAAAAACUGUAUAGACAUUGAACGAAUAUCCUAAAGGCACUUGGUGUUGCUACAACACUAUUGACCUCACAGGGGAUUCCAAGAGCUCUGCUCUCCAGGAUACAAUAGAAUUUCCAGAGAAGGGACUCCUGAUGUCACAAGGAACAGCUUUUGCCUCCUGGCUAACAAAUUCUCCCUGAACUGAACAGAAGCUGAGAUUUCUUUUCCAGGAGUCUCUCCUGUGAUACAGGUGAAGCCAUUCAGUAGUACCUCCUCUUCUAAAGCUGGGAAUUUUUCUCUGCUUCCUUAGAAUCUUUUCACUACUUUACCCAUGGAGAGUUGAACACUCACUUUAUAAGCACUGCCCAAGAAUGGACCUUCCUCUCCUUAACAACCAUACUCAAUAAUAUGAGAAAUAAAGUAUGUCAAGGAAUUAGAUUAGGAUGAUGUGGAGGAGGACGGUUGAGUUCUCUGAAGUGAGCAAGCACCUGAGGAAUGCUAAGGUUAAGAGAAGACGGCCAUGGAGAAUUUUCCUGAAAUGAAGAACUAGCACCCUGUUUGGUCUGGAUUGAAAAUUCACCAGAAGUCUGGACUGUGGCUUCAAAAGCAUACUUGAUGGACCCCAGAAGAAAUGAGUGAUGUAGGAAAACUGUGUCCUUUCAGAUGUUAUAUCACACUGACAAGUCAUGCUAGACAAGGAAGGUGGGGUUCCUGAAGAUGAUAAUGACACAACUCAUUGAACAUGGAGAAGUCAAGCUAGUGUCUCCCUAGAGUCUUCACCACUUAUGGACUAGAUUUCAUGGCACUGAAGAGUACUCUGCUCACUAUCAAAGGAGAAAGGCUCCAUCCACUCUGGCUGGCGUGAAGCUUCCUCCCAACACUGCUUAGCUGGACGAUCAAGAGGGAGUCCUAUCCACACCUCCAACACCAGGAGGAUCUUCUCAAAUCUGCCUUUCAUCAGAUGCCCUAAUCUGCAUUGUUAUCCAGAAUGAGGUGUUAGAGACCUGCUCCAACCCUGACAAUAAGUGACAGUGGAGCAUAAUCUUGAACCCACCAAUGCCUUGCAUGGAUGCCUGGUAUCCUAAGACAAUUAGCAUGCCUACAUCAUGUGUUUGUCCCUACUGGUCUCCUGAAAUUUCUCUUUGCUUGGGAGUGAUUCAGUCAAACUAAUAUAGCACACAUAUGGCUAGAAGGACAAAAGUCAAGUGCAGGGUCUGGAGAGAUGGCUGCUGCAUUUUGAGUAGUUUCUCUCCCAAAGGACCAACAGAGCAGCUAAAAAGCCACUGUAACUCCAGGUUCAGGUGGAAUCUGAUGCCAUCUUCUGGCCUCUGGUGGAAUUGCAUGCAUGUGGUGGGCAACCCUGCUGCAGGCAAAAUGCCCAUACAUACAAAUAAAAGAAAUAAAUCUUUAACAAAUGGAACCCAUUCGUAGCUAAGGUCAAAAAAGUCCCAACAUAUCUUGGAAUUUGUUCUGUCUACAGUCUGGUUUUUCACUGAUGCUAUAUUUUAAGGAAACCAGAGGCAGAUAGCUCUGGUUUUUCUAUUUUUUAUUUUAAAUGUUUUAUUAUUCUUUGUUGGUUUCACAUGAUGCAUCCCAAUCCAACUUUUCCCCUUAUCCUUUCCAUCACAUCUGAGCUCUGUCCUAAGCAAAAUAAAAUUUAAAGGAAAACUGAAAACUCAAAUUUACAAACAAACAAACAAAAGUCUUGGCAAAGAAGUUUUAGUGUGGCCCAGUGAGUCACACAGUACACCCUUUAGUCCAUACAUCUUUUCUUGUAAGUGUUCCUGGCCUCUCUGGCUUCUCUACACUAUAGAUAAUGGACCUUCACUUGUACUCUUCUUGGAGAUCCUGUUGAUGCCUUGUGUCAUAGAGAUCCUGCAGCUUUAGAUCUUCAGAAUUGGGCCCUUUACCUGCUCCAGCAGUCCAUGGAUAAAGAUGACGCUAGGGUUGCAUAAUUCGUAGCCAUGGUUCUGGGCUGGGGACACCUGGGAUAGUCAGGCUGCCAUCUUUCCUUCAUCAUCUCCACCCAGGCAAGCUCUCCAGCACUGCACUACUGAGGUCACCCCAUGCAAUGGGCAGAAUGGAGAGAGGCCCUUUGUCCUGUUCUCAUGCAUUCAAAUCUGACUUUCCCACACUCAGAGUAAAGGUACAGCACUAGUGCUUUGCUGAGGUGAUGUACCAGGCCCCCAAUCCCAGUUGCUACAGUUGGUGAGAGGCUGACCCAGCUCUUCUGUUCUCAUGCCCAAAGUCCCACUCUCCCACCAGCUGCAGGUGGCAUUUGCUCAGGUGGGGCAGGGAUCUUUCCCUUACCCUGGCCAACACAAGGCAGAAGAAGAGGGUAGACUCAGCUCUUCUGCUCUCACAGCCUCAGGGCCAGCUCACUGACACCACAACCAACAGGGUCAGCUCUACUGUGCUGCUUAGUCCAGGUGCAGAACCCACUCUCCCCAGCACUGCAGUGGGUGAGGGGCAGGUCCAGUUCUCACUAGGGCUAAGGCCAGUAAAUGGUGGGGUUAACUCUUUGCAUCCUUAUCCUGUCUUCAGUAGUAACAGGAGCCAUUGACAUCAACUCAGACCAAGUGAUCUGUGGCUGGUUCAUAGAUCCAGACAUGGCCUUUGACAGCAGCCUAGGCCUGAAGGACACCAGGGUCCCUUGUGACAGCACAGGCCACUCAGAUCUGUAUGGCUCCUUCAGGAACACACACCUUAGACAUUAUCAUGGUCCUAGGUGACAGCCCAGACCUAUGCGUACCUCUGUGUGACCCUUGGUGGCUGUACAGGCCAUGGAUAUGAAAACAGAUCCUGGCUGUGUUUGUAACACGCACCCAGAUAUGUUCCAAAGUUGUAGCCCAGGCCUGGAUGUCACCAUGGCUCUGGUUGGCAAUGACGGUCACACAGAUUGGCAGGGACCCAGCAGCACCAUGUUCCAUGGUGGUAGCCCAGAUUCCAGGCACUGUCUUUGAUGGCAACAGGGGCCUGAGAUAUCAACACAGAACCUGGCUGCAACAGGGCCAUGGACCCAGACAUGACCCUCAGUUACAGCCCUUGCCCUGAUGUCAUUAUGGUCCUAGUGGGCAGCACAGGCUUCUAAGACACAUAUGUCCCCUUGGGGGUGGAGGGGAAAUCUCUUUGACAACAACAUGGUCACAUGUGGUGUCCCAACUGCAGGUGGUUGCCAGGCCCUCACUGGCAGAGGAUGCAUGGGUAUCAACAUGUCAUGGACAGGACAUGGCCCUUAACAGCAGACCAGGCAUGGACAUCAUCAUGGCUCCAGGUGGCAAGCAGAUACUUCUGUGCUUACUGGAGACCCAACAAAUCCAUGGGCAGCAUCUGAGAACCCAUGAACAUCAAAGAUGACUCAGAUGCCUUCUGUAAAUCCUUUCUCAGGACCAGUCACUUCAGGCCAGGCUGUGAAACUGAAGAAUAACCACUCAUUUUACAUAUGGAGGGGAAAGUGUCUAACCCGGGAAAUGAGGGACUGUGGAGAUCUCUUUGGUGCAUUAUCUUCAGCAACACUGGUGCAUGACAUGGUGUCAGCUUCAACAAUGGACUGGAGAAUGAAGGAUGAUGCUUUUGGGUGUGGUCUGUCAGGAACAGCUUGACAUCAACACAAUCAUCCAUGACACAUUUCACACCACCUAGGGAGGGCUGAGAACUCAGUCAGCUUGCCAAAGCCAUCGACAUUAAACUGUCAGAAAAUGUCUUGUUCACUCCA